rnacentral:rRNA from 1 species
CUGUGACUCCUACGGGGAGGCAGCAGUGGGGAAUAUUGCACAAUGGGGGAAACCCUGAUGCAGCCAUGCCGCGUGUGUGAAGAAGGCCUUCGGGGUUGUAAAGCACUUUCAGUAGGGAGGAAGGUAGUGUAGUUAACACCUGCAUUAUUUGACGUUACCUACAGAAGAAGCACCGGCUAACUCCGUGCCAGCAGCCGCGGUAAUACGGAGGGUGCGAGCGUUAAUCGGAAUUACUGGGCGUAAAGCGCAUGCAGGCGGCCUGUUAAGUCAGAUGUGAAAGCCCGGGGCUUAACCUCGGAAUUGCAUUUGAAACUGGCAGGCUAGAGUCUUGUAGAGGGGGGUAGGAAUUUCAGGUGUAGCGGUGAAAUGCGUAGAGAUCUGAAGGAAUACCAGUGGCGAAGGCGGCCCCCUGGACAAAGACUGACGCUCAGAUGCGAAAGCGUGGGGAGCAAACAGGAUUAGAUACCCUGGUGA